CCUACGGGUGGCUGCAGUGGGGAAUAUUGGACAAUGGGCGAAAGCCUGAUCCAGCCAUGCCGCGUGUGUGAAGAAGGCCUUCGGGUUGUAAAGCACUUUCAGUGGGGAAGAAAGCCUUGGGGCUAAUACCCUCGAGGAAGGACAUCACCCACAGAAGAAGCACCGGCUAACUCCGUGCCAGCAGCCGCGGUAAUACGGAGGGUGCGAGCGUUAAUCGGAAUUACUGGGCGUAAAGCGCGCGUAGGCGGUCUGAUAAGCCGGUUGUGAAAGCCCCGGGCUCAACCUGGGAACGGCAUCCGGAACUGUCGGGCUAGAGUGCAGGAGAGGAAGGUAGAAUUCCCGGUGUAGCGGUGAAAUGCGUAGAGAUCGGGAGGAAUACCAGUGGCGAAGGCGGCCUUCUGGACUGACACUGACGCUGAGGUGCGAAAGCGUGGGUAGCAAACAGGAUUAGAUACCCCAGUAGUC
rnacentral:rRNA from 1 species